rnacentral:rRNA from 1 species
GACGAACGCUGGCGGCGUGCCUAACACAUGCAAGUCGAACGGACGAGGGGAGCUUGCUCCCCGAGUUAGUGGCGAACGGGUGAGUAACGCGUGAGCAACCUGCCUUUCAGAGGGGGACAACGGUUGGAAACGACCGCUAAUACCGCAUGAAGCAAUCGGACCGCAUGAUCUGAUUGCCAAAGAUUUAUCGCUGAAAGAUGGGCUCGCGUCUGAUUAGAUAGUUGGUGGGGUAACGGCCCACCAAGUCGACGAUCAGUAGCCGGACUGAGAGGUUGAACGGCCACAUUGGGACUGAGAUACGGCCCAGACUCC